rnacentral:rRNA from 1 species
GACGAACGCUGGCGGCGUGCCUAAUACAUGCAAGUAGAACGCUGAAGCUUGGUGCUUGCCCCGAGCGGAUGAGUUGCGAACGGGUGAGUAACGCGUAGGUAACCUGCCUGGUAGCGGGGGAUAACUAUUGGAAACGAUAGCUAAUACCGCAUAAUAGUAGAUGUUGCAUGACAUUUGCUUAAAAGGUGCAAUUGCAUCACUACCAGAUGGACCUGCGUUGUAUUAGCUAGUUGGUGAGGUAACGGCUCACCAAGGCAACGAUACAUAGCCGACCUGAGAGGGUGAUCGGCCACACUGGGACUGAGACACGGCCCAGACUCCUACGGGAGGCAGCAGUAGGGAAUCUUCGGCAAUGGACGGAAGGCUGACCGAGCAACGCCGCGUGAGUGAAGAAGGUUUUCGGAUCGUAAAGCUCUGUUGUAAGAGAAGAACGAGUGUGAGAGUGGAAAGUUCACACUGUGACGGUAUCUUACCAGAAAGGGACGGCUAACUACGUG